GACGGGGGGCAAGUGUUCUUCGGAAUGACUGGGCGUAAAGGGCACGUAGGCGGUGAAUCGGGUUGAAAGUCAAAGUCGCCAAAAACUGGCGGAAUGCUCUCGAAACCAAUUCACUUGAGUGAGACAGAGGAGAGUGGAAUUUCGUGUGUAGGGGUGAAAUCCGUAGAUCUACGAAGGAACGCCAAAAGCGAAGGCAGCUCUCUGGGUCCCUACCGACACUGGGGUGCGAAAGCAUGGGGAGCGAACAGG
rnacentral:rRNA from 1 species